AAUAGCCUGACGGCUGAACCAGCAACUUGGAAGAAUGGAGCAGCGAAAGCUGAUUAUAUUGUAAUAAUAUAGCAUUAACUUUGUUAAAUAAAGUUCUAGGUAUGUUUAUGAUAAUGACAUGGUAUAUCUAUAAGUCUUGACCAAGUCACGUGCCAGCAGUCGCGGUAAUACGUGGAAGACAAGUGUUAUUCAUCUUUAAUUGGUUUAAAGGGUACGUAGACAGCUAAUAAAGCCUAUAAACUAUAGGGACUUAUUGAGCUAGAGUUUAUGUGAGGCGAGAACUGUAGUACGAUGAGCGUAGAGAUGAAAUUCUUUGAGGCCAUUUAGAGACUGAUAAAGGCGAAGGCGGCCGCUUAUGUAAAACUGACGUUAAGGGACGAAGGCUCGAUGAAAUAACAGGAUUAGGUACCCUAGCAUUGUGAGCAGACAAUGAUGAAUGUCAUAUAUAAGAUAAAUGUCUUGUAUAUAAAUGAAAGUGUAAGCAUUCCACCUCAAGAGUAAUAUGGCAACAUAUAAACUGAAAUCAUUAGACCGUUUCUGAAACCAGUAGUGAAGUAUGUUGUUUAAUUUGAUGAUCCACAAAAAACCUUACCACAAUUUGUAUAUUUACGAAAUUAUUUUGUAAUUACAAGCGUUGCACGGCUGUCUUCAGUUAAUGUUGUGAAAUUUUGGUUAGUUCCAUUAAAUUAACGUAAACCCUUGCUUUAUUUAAUAGUAUAAAGUAGUUCGCCGCUAUAUUGGUUGUGAUAUAAGGGAUUAAGACAAGUCAUCAUGGCCUAAAUAUUGUGGGCUAUAGACGUGCCACAUCAUCCAUAACAAAGAGAUGCAAAAUUGCGAAAUUAAGCUAAUCUUAUAAAAUUGGACAUAAUAU
rnacentral:rRNA from 1 species